rnacentral:rRNA from 1 species
UAAAAUAAUUAAGGGCACACAAAGGAUGCCUAGGUAGUAAGAGCCGAUGAAGGACGUGGUAAGCUGCGAUAAGCCUAGAUAAGUUGCAAUCGAACGUAAGAGUCUAGGAUUUCCGAAUGGAGCAAUCUAUUAAGAUGGAGUCUUAAUACGAAAGAGGGAACCGCGUGAACUGAAACAUCUAAGUAACGCGAGGAAAAGAAAGUAAAAACGAUACCCAAAGUAGCGGCGAGCGAAAUGGGUCAAGCCUAAACCUUAAAUAUGUCAAGGAUACAGCCGUUGUAUUUAAGGGGUUGUGGGACAGAGUGAUGAAGAACUGUAAGAUAUUCAAUAUAGUGUAUUGAUGAAUUAGAAUUGUCUGGAAAGGUGAACCGCAGAAGGUGAAAGUCCUGUAUAAGUAAAUCCUUACACAUAUAACUUUGCUCCCAAGUAACAUGGAACACGAGGAAUUCUGUGUGAAUCAGUGAGGACCAUAUCUCAUAAGGCUAAAUACUCUUACUAACCGAUAGCGCAUAGUACCGUGAGGGAAAGGUGAAAAGAACCCCUGGAGGGGAGUGAAAUAGAACCUGAAAUUGUGUGCUUACAAGCGGUCAGAGCCCAUUUGGGUGAUGGCGUGCCUUUUGGAGAAUGAUCCUGCGAGUUACGUUAAACGGCGAGGUUAAGUAUAACGGAGCCGAAGGGAAACCAAGUCUUAAUAGGGCGAUUUAGUCGUUUGGCGUAGACGCGAAACCUGGUGAUCUAAACCUGUCCAGGAUGAAGCUGUGGUAAGACACAGUGGAGGUCCUAACCCACCGCCGUUGAAAAGUUGGGGGAUGAGGUAGGUUUAGGGGUGAAAAGCCAAUCGAACCAGGAGAUAGCUCGUUCUCUCCGAAAUGCAUCUAGGUGCAGCCUUGAGUGUUCAAUUAUGGGGGUAGAGCACUGAAUGAUCUAGGGGGCAUAUUGCUUACUGAAAUCAAUCAAACUCCGAAUACCAUAAUUUAUAGCUCAGGAGUGAGACUAUGGGAGUUAACUUCCAUUGUCAAAAGGGAAACAACCCAGACCACCAGCUAAGGUCCCUAAUUAUAACUAAGUGGGAAAGGAGGUGGAGAUUCACAAACAACUAGGAGGUUGGCUUAGAAGCAGCCAUACCUUUAAAGAGUGCGUAAUAGCUCACUAGUCGAGAGUCUCUGCGCCGACAAUGUAACGGGGCUAAGUUAUAAACCGAAGCUGUGGAAUCCUUUUGGAUUGGUAGGAGAGCGUUCUGUAGGCCGUUGAAGAAGAAGGGUAACCGACUUUGGAGGUAUCAGAAGUGAGAAUGCAGGAAUAAGUAGCGAGAAAGGGGGCGAGAAUCCCCCUCGCCGGAAGACCAAGGUUUUCAGGGUAAAGCUUGUCUUCCCUGAGUAAGCCGGGACCUAAGCCCAGGCUAUAAUGCGUAGGCGAAUGGAAAACAGAUUAAUAUUUCUGUGCCAGUCAUUUAUUGUGAUGGAGGGACGCAGAAGGGUAUGCGCGCGGACGAUCGGUUGUGUCCGUAGAAGUAUGUAGGAUGACUUAGUAGGUAAAUCCAUUAAGUUAUAUCUGAGGUAUGAUAUACAGUCGUAAGAUGAAUGCGCAAAUCCCACGCUGCCAAGAAAAGCUUCUAACGUUAAUAUAUGACUGCCCGUACUGUAAACCGACACAGGUGGUCAGGAUGAGAAAUCUAAGGCGGACAGGCUAACUCUCGUUAAGGAACUCUGCAAAAUAACCUCGUAACUUCGGGAGAAGAGGAGCCCUUGGGUGUUAGUAUCCAUGCGAUACAAAGCGCUCGAGGGUCGCAGUGAAGAGGCUCAAGCAACUGUUUAACAAAAACACAGGUCUAUGCUAAGCUGGAAGGCGAUGUAUAUGGGCUGACACCUGCCCAGUGCUGGAAGGUUAAGAGGAGGAGUGAGAGCUCCGAAUUGAAGCCCCAGUGAACGGCGGCCGUAACUAUAACGGUCCUAAGGUAGCGAAAUUCCUUGUCGGGUAAG